GCGAUUCAAAAGGAAAAAUUGUGAUAUUUUUCGAGGGCAACGCGUUGGUGAGCUCGGAUAGUGGUUUGGGGUUCCCGUUUGAGCGGGGCAGCGUUUUGAGACUGUUCGGAAGGGAAAGCUCCGGUAAAGUGAUUUGGAGAGAGCGCGAUCGGCCUUAAGGUCCCAGUACCAGUUACCAGCGGUGAUUAGUUCCAGCCUUUUUUUGCAGUUGUGAUUCGGAGACGAGGGCGAGCACUUGGCGUUUUGGGGUUUGUUUUGUCUCCUUCUUUUGUUUUAGCUAGUCUUGUUGCCUUUGAGACACGCUCUGUUGUGGUCCACU